rnacentral:sRNA from 1 species
CAGCUAUCUUCUGUAGUAUACUUUAUAAACAGGAGACAGUCCUGAUUCCUCCCUCAAUGUUGGGGGUGGGCAGAAGAUUUUCCUUAGGGCACCCAAGGGGAAAAUGCAGGCACAGUGUAUCUGAGAGGGGUGGCAGGACCUAGAGGCCAUCCCUCAAGAUCUGUGGUCCACAGAUGUACCUAUAACCAAGCCAAUCAUUUUCAAAGCCCUGUGAUAGAGGUUGCCUUAUUGAUCCCUUACCACCUCCUUCUGGGGCAAAUUGAGCAAAUAUUAUUCCUCUUUAUGGACAUAAAGAAAAAUUGGGACCGAGGAAGAUAAGGCAACUUGCCCCAGGGGUCACAGGCAGCCAGUGGCAGAGCUAAGGAUUGGGAUUCAGUGUCCCCAUGACAGCUUCCUGCCCUCAGCCUCUGAGAACAGCGAUGGCGAAGCUAAGACCAGGCAUGGGUAGAGGGUCUGCUGUCCAUUCCUCUCUCUCCCUUGCAGGUGAUGCUGGUGAAAAACUUAUCGGUGUCUCGGGGCCUGGUGAAUGGUGCCCGAGGGGUGGUAGUUGGGUUCGAGGCAGAAGGGAGAGGGCUACCCCAGGUGCGGUUCCUGUGUGGAGUCACUGAGGUCAUCCAUGCUGACCGCUGGACGGUGCAGGCCACCGGGGGCCA